rnacentral:rRNA from 1 species
GGGUGCUAUCAUACCAGCGCUAAUGCAUUGGAUCCCAUCAGAACUCCGUAAUUAACCAUGCUUGGGUUAGAGUAGUACUAGGAUGGGUGACCUCC